CUAAAUACUCGUGAUCGACCGAUAGCGAACUAGUACUGUGAAGGAAAGGUGAAAAGAACCCCGGGAGGGGAGUGAAAUAGAAUCUGAAACCGCGUACAUACAAACAGUAGGAGCCCGCAAGGGUGACUGCGUACCUUUUGCAUAAUGGGUCAGCGACUUACGUUUUGUGGCGAGCCUAACCGAGUAGGGGAGGCGAAGCGAAAGCGAGUCCGAACAGGGCGCCUAGUCGCAAGGCGUAGACCCGAAACCAGAUGAGCUAACCAUGGCCAGGUUGAAGGUGUGGUAACACACGCUGGAGGACCGAACGAACCGGUGUUGCAAAACCGGUCGAUGAGCUGUGGUUAGGGGUGAAAGGCUUAACAAAUCUGGAGAUAGCUGGUUCUCCCCGAAAACUAUUGAGGUAGUGCCUCGUGUAUUGCUCCAGGGGGUAGAGCACUGUUAUGGCUAGGGGGACAUGGCGUCUUACCAAACCAUGGCAAACUCCGAAUACUUGGAAGUAAGAGCACGGGAGACAGAGCACCGGGUGCUAACGUCCGGACUCAAAAGGGAAACAACCCAGACCGCCGGCUAAGGUCCCUAAUAUUUGCUAAGUGGAAAACGAAGUGGAAAGGCUAAGACAGUCAGGAAGUUGGCUUAGAAGCAGCCAUCCUUUAAAGAAAGCGUAAUAGCUCACUGAUCGAGUCUUUCUGCGCGGAAGAUGUAACGGGGCUAAGCAAGUAACCGAAGCCGCGGAUUCAUACAAAAGUAUGAGUGGUAGGGGAGCGUUCUGUAAGCCUGCGAAGGUGUGUUGAGAAGCAUGCUGGAGGUAUCAGAAGUGCGAAUGCUGACAUGAGUAACGUUAAAGCGGGUGAAAAGCCCGCUCGCCGUAAGCCCAAGGUUUCCUGCUCUACGUUCAUCGGAGCAGGGUGAGUCGGCCCCUAAGGCCAGGCUGAGAAGCGUAGUCGAUGGGAACAAGGUUAAUAUUCCUAGACCAUUGUCAAGUAUGCGAUGGGGGGACGGAGUGUGAAAGAUGAUCCGGGUGUUGGAUAUCCCGGUUUGUGAGAGUAGGAGGUUCGCAGGCAAAUCCGCGGACAUAUCUCCGAGUCAAAGCAUCGAGCUUUCGUUAGAAAGUGAAGUGAUUGGAAGAACUUCCAGGAAAAGCCUCUAAGCUUCAGUUUUGAUGUGACCGUACCGUAAACCGACACUGGUGGGCGAGUUGAAUAUACUAAGGCGCUUGAGAGAACUCGGGAGAAGGAACUCGGCAAAUUGACACCGUAACUUCGGAAGAAGGUGUGCCCGUGUAACGAGGCAAGGGGAAACCCCUUGAGCGUGAAAGGGUCUCAGAGAAAUGGUGGCUGCGACUGUUUAUCAAAAACACAGCACUCUGCAAAGACGCAAGUCGAAGUAUAGGGUGUGACACGUGACCAAUGCCGAAAGAUUAAGGCAAGGGGUUAGCCGCAAGGCGAAGCUCUAAACCCAAGUCCCGGUGAAUGUCGGCCGUAACUAUAACGGUCCUAAGGUAGCGAAAUUCCUUGUCGGGUAAGUUCCGACCUGCACGAAUCAUGUAACGAGUUGGGUGCUGUCUCAGGGAGAAGCUCAGUGAAAUUGUAGUCGCGGUUAAGAUGCCGCGUACCCGCAGAAGGACGGAAAGACCCUAUGAACCUUUACUGUAAACUGAUAUUGUCGUUUGAUUUUUAAUACGUAGGAUAGCCGGGAGGCUAUGAGUUGUCACUCCAGGGUGAUGAUGAGCCGCAAUGUGAAAUACCGGUUUUUAACUAUUAGGCGUCUAACCACAUACCGUGAGCCGGUUGUGGGACAGUGUUAGUGGGUCAGUUUGACUGGGGCGGUCUCCUCCUAAAAAGUAACGGAGGACUGCGAAGGUUCCCUCAGACCGGUUGGUAAUCGGUCGUCGAGGAUAUGGCUAAAAGGGAGCUUAACUGUGAGACCUACAAGUCGAGCAGAUGGGAAACCAGGCCCAAGUGAUCCGGCGAUAGCUCGUGGGAGCGUCGUCGCUUAUGGGACAAAAGGUACUCUAGGGAUAACAGGCUGAUUUCGCCCAAGCGUUCAUAGCGACGGCGAAGUUUGGCACCUCGAUGUCGGCUCAUCACAUCCUGGGGCUGUAGAAGGUCCCAAGGGUUUGGCUGUUCGCCAAUUAAAGUGGUACGCGAGCUGGGUUCAGAACGUCGUGAGACAGUUCGGUCCUCUAUCCUCUGUGGGCGUUGGAAAUUUGAGGGGUUCAUUCCUUAGUACGAGAGGACCGGGAAUGACGUAUCCCUGGUGUUCCGGUUGUCGUGUCAGCGGCAGCGCCGGGUAG
rnacentral:rRNA from 1 species